rnacentral:rRNA from 1 species
CGAACGCUUCUUUCCUCCCGAGUGCUUGCACUCAAUUGGAAAGAGGAGUGGCGGACGGGUGAGUAACACGUGGGUAACCUACCCAUCAGAGGGGGAUAACACUUGGAAACAGGUGCUAAUACCGCAUAACAGUUUAUGCCGCAUGGCAUAAGAGUGAAAGGCGCUUUCGGGUGUCGCUGAUGGAUGGGCCCGCGGUGCAUUAGCUAGUUGGUGAGGUAACGGCUCACCAAGGCCACGAUGCAUAGCCGACCUGAGAGGGUGAUCGGCCACACUGGGACUGAGACACGGCCCAGACUCCUACGGGAGGCAGCAGUAGGGAAUCUUCGGCAAUGGACGAAAGUCUGACCGAGCAACGCCGCGUGAGUGAAGAAGGUUUUCGGAUCGUAAAACUCUGUUGUUAGAGAAGAACAAGGACGUUAGUAACUGAACGUCCCCUGACGGUAUCUAACCAGAAAGCCACGGCUAACUACGUGCCAGCAGCCGCGGUAAUACGUAGGUGGCAAGCGUUGUCCGGAUUUAUUGGGCGUAAAGCGAGCGCAGGCGGUUUCUUAAGUCUGAUGUGAAAGCCCCCGGCUCAACCGGGGAGGGUCAUUGGAAACUGGGAGACUUGAGUGCAGAAGAGGAGAGUGGAAUUCCAUGUGUAGCGGUGAAAUGCGUAGAUAUAUGGAGGAACACCAGUGGCGAAGGCGGCUCUC